AGUUUCUUUCCGUUUGUCUCAAUAAACGUAUGCGCAAGGGCUAGUUAACGGUAAAAUUUAUAUCACAAGAAUUAAAAACUCAGCUAUCCGACACGUUUUCAGGCGCGUGUUGCCUAACAAUGUGAAUAAAAUGUUAAAUUAAAAAUUUUAUAUAUUGAAUUUUGUAAGCAUAAAAGAAGAUUGAUAAAUUGUUGGAGUAUAUGUGCAUGUGGAUAAAUAUUAUGUGUAAUUUUAAUUUAUUAAUGAUAUUUUCCAAACAAAAACAAAUAUUCAACACAGUGCAAAAAAAAAGUUCAACUAGUGAAUAAUCGAAUUUUAUUUAUUACAAAUAUAAAUGUGUGUGCCAGUUCAACACUAGUUUAGCAGUUUUAUUGGCAGUAAAUGCAUUACUGUCUGGAGAAAAACAAAAUUGGAUAAAAGACACCGAAGGAAAAUCUCAUCAUCAUACUCUCGCAAUUUGUCACCAUUAUCAAUUCUAGUCAUAACGCAGGCACGAUGGGAAACACACAACCAAAUAAACAAUGAGUUCCAGCGCAACGCACUCCCACUAAAUACCCCUAGGCAGAUUUUGCAUUACCCUCUAGCCAAAUGCAAACAAAGCACCCACAAAUACGAGGAAUACAAGACCGACCGAAAUAUGCUGCACAAGCAGAGCGUCGCGCUCAUGCUAAGUCCGACGGCGUUUGUUAUUGUCGCGCUAACGACAUUGUUCGUGGUACGCGCGACAAUGGUGGUGUAGCCGGGAGUUUGCCAGGCCAAAGUGGACUAACAACAACACCUUAGAAUGCAUUGAUGCGACCAUGGACCAUGUCGUGUACAUUAGGGGUACUAGCGCCAGCUUAACCGGAUCCCCUGGACAAGAUGGCACAACGGUGGGUUAUGAUGGAAAUUACUCUACCGUGUUUUUCGGCAUCAACGGACUCGUAGGCCAGCUGGAAAAUACGUUCGUCAUUUUGGGUCCCCUUUGCUGCUUCAUCAUACGGUAUUCUACUAAGCUGUUCUUCUUCUUGUAGAUGUGCAUGCUAGUACGCCUAUGGAAGAGCGCACCGGACUGAAAACCAUCAGCGGAAUCAAGUAUUAAGAAUGCCCAGAAUAGUUACUGACUAAUGACAACCGAUAUAAAACCACAUGUUGCUAUUACGCAGAACCAUGAUCGAGCUUAGACUCCCCGCUUCGCUAAUACUACUUCUCGGUGCUCGUAGGUGGAGUGGAUUGAUAAAUAAAGAGAUUUUUGUAAAAAAUGAACACCGAAGAAAUGCUUUGUAAACUCUUGGACACUCUAACUGAGAACACCAAAAAAAAAAGUUAAGUAAAAAUUCUUUUUUAUCUCAAUUGGCUAUUUCUAACAUCCGAAUUUUCAACUUACUUAGGAAUAAUUGUACAAAUAUUACUUGAAAGCAGAGCAUAUAAAUAUUUAGCUGCAUAAGUAUGUAUAUAAUUUUUGUGAAUUGAAUUGAGCUUACUGCAAACUUCCUUGCAUUAUUCACACAUUAUUCGCAAAAUUUUGUGCUGAUGGCGCACUUCACAGAAAAUCUGUAAAUAAUCUAUAGCUUAUUUGCUAGCAGUGGAACAAAUAAAAGUAUAAAUAAUGUGACAUUCUCAUUCAAGUAUAGCGUUUGUCGAAAGCGCUUACAACUCUUGUGUUCCACUGCACACAAUCGUUCAGCUUGGAGUGGUCAGAAUACUUGAUACAAAUAUGUUGGAUUUUUAUGUAUAGAUAUAUACCGACAAAACAGAGGAAAUUUAGAUAAAACAUGGUUUAUCCCGCUCAGCGUCGCCUUGGAAAAAAUUAAGACAUCAAAAAUCUAUAGGAUUUGUAUGAAUUUUUCAAUUCAAGUUAUGAAAUUACCUUACGUGCUUAUGUAAAGAAAUAUUACUGUAAAUAACUAAAGUUUUUUCAACCUUGUUAAAUAAAAGUUUCUUUUUACAAUUUCAUAGCGAGUUCACUUGAAUUUAUGAUCUUCCAGUUAGCAGUUGUGAGUGAAAACGAAUUUUAAUGGCUUCUGAGAACUUCAUACCAAUGAUAGCGCGUUUAACUCAUUGUCGGAAGAUGGCAUCAGAAAGUUCUUAAUUCCUGCUACUUCAUAUGCUUCACUUCUAAAGCUGAUUUGCAAAUUUACAAGCCUAUGGAAAAGGUGCGCAUCCCACGAAUCGGCAGAAUCAAAAUGGAAAAUUACCUCAAAGAUGCGCACCUUUAACAGGUGGACAAAAUAAAGUUAGUGGAACAACCCAAAAGGUCAAGUGACUUAAACCAAAUUCACAUGAAAACUUCAAGAAACAGCGAAAAAUUGAGAAAAAAGGACGACGAGUUAAAGCAUUGAGUAACCACCGGCUGGAAAAUGGUUGGGCAUAUAUUUGCAAUGAAUAUCAAUUAUUGUCUAUAACAGCAAAAAGGCAGCGGGCAUAAAAUUCGCAUUUCUACUCAUACAAAUGCACAGAAUAUGUAGCACCCAAAUAGAAGUACAAAAAAAAUAAAAAGUACCCACCGCAGCCAUGUUAAAGCGCUCUUUUCAAUACAGCAGUUUCGUAUACACCAUUUGCGAACAAUGCUUAGUAAUUAAGUGGAUUACGUCAACAUUGUAUUGAAAGGUUACUAUUUAUGAUCAAAGGGGAUUAAUUUUACUCAGCUACGUGAUUAUUCCUUGGACUGGUUGAUUCACUGUAGGUUAGGGAAGGGUCGUAUGUUUUAGAUGGCUGCAGUUAUACUUUGGGUAUUCACUUCGACUGAUUAAAUUAUCAAUUCGCCCAAUCUUAUAAAGUUUGAAUACAUUUGAAGGCAUUACUACAUUGGCUGGCUAAGUCUUGGCUAACAAAAUGCAUACAUUCGCGUAUUAUAUUUAAUGCAUAUAUGUAUGUAACAAAAAAAAAAUAAACUAAUAACUUGACCAUGUGACCAAGUUACAGUAAAAUUAACUAUUUAUAACUAUACGGAACAUGUAAUACUUAAGACGACUUAACAUUUAUACUUAAUAAAUUAAAAUUGACAAACUCAAAGUUGUGUGAAAAAUAUUUACUGUCAAGUCAGAAGCUUACUCAAAUUAGGUAGUUUUGGUUUGAGAAAUUUUGAAUCUUCGUUUAAGACAAUAUAAAUUAUCCUCAAAAUAAUUUGUAGAUAUUGUUGGUUACUGGAAAUACUUAAACUAUCGUGCGCGUCAGUCCGAAAAAAGUAUUCGUUAUUUGUGGUUUUUAGAGAUAUUUUUACACUCUUGCAACCAAGAAUUGCAUUGGGGAGGGUUCAACAUUUUUUUUAAGUGGGCGUGCCCGCCUUCUAAUAAGUUCAAGACAUAUAUCUUCUAAGCCAUUCGAGUUAUAUGACCCAAAGUUUUACAAAAUAAAUAUUUUGAACUCCAACUUCGACAGUAGAAAAAUGAAUGAAAUCUAAUGAUAACUCCGCCCACUCAGUAUAUAACGGUUUUGUUAAAAACUACUAAAAGUGCGAUAAAUCAAUAACUUAAUGCGUUAGAGAUAUUUAAUUUUACAUUCGGCACCGCCCACAUUUAGGUGCAAUCUUAUAUCCUCCGACUAAUUUCAACCACAUUCGGUACAUAGAACUACUUUAAUAUUCUCAUGUUACAGUGCGAAAAUGGGCGAAAUCGAACUAAAACCAUACCUACUACCCAUAUAGCACAAAGUUAAAUUCCGUAUGACUUAAACUUUCCAGUAUAUAAACCAAGCACCAAAGAAUAUAUCGGGACAAAUCCACCACACCACCACUACACCAUCUCAAGUGUAAAAAUUUUCAAAAUCAGACCAUAACUGUUCAAGCCCCCAGUUACCCAAUGUGGGGACCACAGUGCCUGGUGCUAACAUUUUUACCGGAAAUAAUGAUCAAUAUUUGAUAUAUAUUAUUAAAAUUCGGAGAGAGACACAAUUCAGAGAAAGAAUCAGGUCAAUAGUUCUCUUAGCACCUAUAUACCUUAUUGAAAUAUUGUCGAAUUUCCGGUUUACUUCAUACCACAUACGUCGGCUAAUAUGUGAGCUAUUUUAAUGAAAUUAAGUGAAUGUAUUUUUUGGUGCAUGUUUGUGCUGAAAAUGAGUAAAAUUGGGUGAAAACUUGCCUGAUCCAAUUGAAACUGACUAUACGAAUAUUAUUGGAUAUACUAUGCCGUUUAAUGCCCAAAAUAUUUCAAAUUAAGUCUACGAUAUUAUUGUGGUACCAGAUUGAAAUAUUUAUAGAAAAAGUAUGCACUUGAUAUACGGUUUAGGUUAAUUAAAAAAAAUUUUUUUUAAUCAAUCAUUGAAAUACUUUAUUCUCUAUAAUCAAC